UUCUAGUUAUUAUUUGUGAUUUAAAUACAGCCCCAUAUAAAUGAGAAACAGCUCUCUUGCUCGUACAUGGCGCCCUUCAGAUGAGUUAUGUUAAGGAAUCGACUGAACCAUUAACUAUCAACAAUAUUUUUUUCAAUUAAAAUGGCUAAUGCUAUUAUUGACAUCUUACUAUGAAGAGAGUUCCCCAAUAUCUUCACCAAUCAUAUUUGCAACUAAUAUAUAGACUCUCCAACCUGCAUACUGUAAAUUAUCCAAGCAAAUGCUGUAUAACCAGGAGCAGAGGGCAUAUCCCUACCCAAGAUUGGACUGCACACAAGAUACAAUCAAGAAAUUUAAAUGAUUCACUUCCAUUUUUUUAUUUUCUUCUUCAUAAUGAAAUCAUGAACCUUGUAUUUGCAACACUCCGUACCACAAUCGGCAGGAAUGAGCAGACGAGAGCAACUUCAUUCAAAUUUACAACAUAAGUUAACAGAACACACAAGUCACCACUAAAUUGCCAAGACCAGCAGAAAUAAGCAUGUCAUUCUCUUCAAUUAAUCUACUUUUUUUCUCGGCAGAAGAAAAGAACAGACAACAUGUGUUUUAGCAUCUAAUUUCCUAAUGACACAGCAGAACAUCAAAGAAAUUUAAAAGCCCCAAAAAAUAAAAUAUAGCAUGCAAAAACUUAUUGCGCAAACGGAAAGAGUAAAGCAUACCCUUUUCCUUUCUCUCUUUUUCUCUAUUCAGAAUCCGAAGGUAAAUGUGAAGAAAGGAUAGGAAAAGGAUCAAUAGGUAAUUGUGUGGAAUCGGUAGGAAAAGGAUUAAUAGGUAAUUGUGUAGAAUCGGUAAGAAAAGGAUCAACGGGUAAUUGUGUAGAAUCGGUAAGAAAAGGAUCAACGGGUAAUUGUAAAGAAUCAGUAGGAAAAGGAUCGAUGGUGAAUUGUGGAGAUCCCGAUGGCACAGGAGCAGUGGUCGUGACAUUAGCAGCAGCAGCAGCAGCCUCGGAUUCCUCCUGCAUCAACUUCUGCAAUCCAGGUUUCAAUUCCUU
rnacentral:lncRNA from 1 species